UAUUGUUAGCCGAGGGUUGGGCGUCAAAGCAGCAUUCUUAGGAAAUCUGGCCCUUCCACUUUCGCGGACGGUUCUUCCGCUGGUCGAUAGAGCGGGCACGAAACUCGGUCGCAGCUGCCCUUUUCCGGUUGAUAUCGUCACUUCGCUUCCCAUCGGCGCCUCUGAUAAUUGCUUCUUCUUGGGGUUGAUCCUCUUACUUUACUUACUCCAGCUUCGUCUUCGCUCUUGCUAGUUUUUUUUUUUUUGUGGGAAAUCUUUUGAGGGUUAACUCCGGGAUCUAAUCGGCCGGAUUUCUUCUGUAUAUUUCCUACGAAAUAUAUCGAUUAUUGUGGAUAUCACGGCGUAGUGCUCAUAGAUCCACUCCGAAUUGAUAGUUUAGGUUUCCUUGUUUCCGAUUUCUAUACCUUGUUUUUGGAGUUUCUAUGGCCGCCGGUCGUAACGGGGACUACCGAGAUGACGAGCUUAGGGGUAGAGAGUCUAAUUUAGAGAUUACGAUGAAGAAAGAUUAUUACCAGGAGCGAUUUCGCGAAGGGGACCGCGAGCGGGGACUCGUAAAAGAUCGGAUUAGGGUUAGAGAUAAGGAAGUCUCGAACGGGUCCUAUCGCUCUCCCCUGUCAAGCAAUUCUAGCGUAGUUAGUAAGGCUAGUAAUCGGCUUUCUAGAAGGUCUGCAGAUCGUGAGCCUGGGGAGCUGUCUAGCGGAAGUGGGUCGGAUGACGCCGAUGUCCUUCCUUACAGGGGGACAGUUAAUGGUGUAGAGAAACCGGAAGAGGGCGAUUCAUCAGCUGCUAAGAAGAGAAAAUUCUCUCCGAUUAUAUGGGACAGAGAUGACGAUAAGAGGUCAUCUGCUGGCAGUUCCCGGAGUAGGAGCAAUCCUGUGCAUCGAGCUCCACUUCCUCCACCACCUUCAUUGAGACGUGGGCACACCCUGUCACGACCAAUCGAGGUGGUGCGGCAGUUUCCAGAGCAAGCCUUACCAUUGGAUGCAGAAGUUUCUGCAAUUUCACCUCAAUAUCAUAAAGAUGAAGUCAAUGGUUUGGGGCAUGGACAGGUAUUGGAUCAUGAGGAUGACAUUGCUCCAGCACGUCACAUCUCUACCUCUCGGUGGGCAGACACAAACAAUGCCUUGGAAGAAGAUGAAGCUAAGGCAGCUGUUGUGGAGAUUGUGAGAAAAAAGAAAAAAAGUACCCUUUUGGCAGUAUCUGGGCAACAAUACCAACUGCUGAAAAAGUUACAGAGCCCUGAGCUCGGCGAGGUGAGGGAAAGUUCUGAAGGCGCCGAUUCACAGUCAUAUAGUAGUUCCAAGGGUUGCAGUGGAGAUGAUGAACAAAAUAUUGGUUCUGGGAGUAAUGAGUCUAUGGAUAUUGAUGAGGAAGUGGCUAAAGAUGAUACUAGUGUUCAUAUUUUGGACUCCGAUUAUGAAAAUUCCAGUGGCGAGGCUAGGACACUAGAGCCAAUGCAACCACCUCAAAGAAGCAUAAACAUGCUGCAGGGAUGUAGAAGUGUUGAUGAAUUUGAAAGGUUGAACAAGAUAGAUGAAGGCACUUAUGGGGUUGUCUAUAGAGCAAAGGACAAAAUAACUGGGGAUAUUGUAGCAUUGAAAAAGGUGAAGAUGGAGAAGGAGAGGGAGGGCUUUCCUUUGACAUCUCUCAGGGAAAUUAAUAUAUUGUUGUCUUUCCACCAUCCAUCUAUUGUGGAUGUAAAGGAAGUUGUUGUUGGAAGCAGCCUUGAUAGUAUCUUCAUGGUUAUGGAGUAUAUGGAGCAUGAUCUUAAAGGCCUGAUGGAGACAAUGAAGCAACCAUUUAGCCAGAGUGAGGUAAAGUGCUUAAUGUUGCAGCUUCUGUCCGGUGUCAAAUACCUGCAUGAUAACUGGGUUCUUCAUAGGGAUCUAAAGACAUCAAAUCUGUUAUUGAACAAUCGCGGUGAGUUGAAAAUUUGUGAUUUUGGUUUAGCUCGUCAAUAUGGUAGUCCUUUGAAGCCAUAUACCCACUUGGUUGUGACUUUGUGGUACAGAGCGCCAGAACUUCUGCUAGGCACAAAGCAGUAUUCAACUGCAAUUGACAUGUGGUCACUUGGAUGUAUAAUGGCUGAAUUCUUAGCGAAAGAGCCGUUAUUCAAUGGGAAGACCGAAUUUGAUCAACUUGAUAAGAUAUUUAGAACUCUUGGCACCCCAAAUGAGAAGAUCUGGCCAGGGUUUGCAAAGUUACCUGGUGUCAAAGUAAACUUUGUUAGGCAGCCGUAUAAUAGGCUGCGUGAGAAGUUCCCGCCCACUUCAUUUUCUGGGCGUCCAACUCUGUCAGAGGCUGGUUUUGACUUGCUGAAUAAGCUUCUAACAUAUGACCCUGAGAAGCGCAUUACUGCUGAAAAUGCUCUCAACCAUGAUUGGUUCCGUGAGGUUCCUCUUCCUAAAGAGAAGGAUUUCAUGCCAACAUUUCCUGCCCAGCAUGCCCAAGACAGGCGUCUGCGAAGGAUAAUGAAGAGCCCUGAUCCUCUGGAAGAGCAGCGAAGGAAGGAAUUACAGCUGGGGGACCAAGUCUCUACUGGACUCUUUGGUUAAGAGUAGUGAAUGAGUAGCUGGUAAACUGCUGCAUAUCUAUGCUUCUUGUCCUGAAUUGAAAGUAUUCACAUGGGAUAUAUUACUUUGAGGUGAGAGAUGUGUUGCAAGUAAAGUUCUGCAGCUUGUGUUAGUGUCCGGUGACGAUUUAACACUAUUCUUCAGCAGGCACCCGUGAUGAUAUUGGUGGACUAAAAAUAUAGUUUUAUCCACCAAAACGAUUUUGUUGCAGGCAUUUUUGUUCUUGUCGGCAAUGAUCAUAAAACAGUUCAUCCUUUAUGCAACUUGGAUACAAGAGAUGAUUUGUGUGAAGUGGAGAGGGCUUAACUCACUCUUCAGUGCCAAAGAAACUGAGGGUUUUCUUCCAUCCUGAGUUUUCAGCAGUUUGAAGAGUUGACGUGUGAAUAUCCAUAUGUACUUUUUGCUGCCAAAGAGAUUUACUAUGAAUUGAAAGAGGAUACCAUGAUGGAUCUUCCUUGAUGCCAAUGGUGUGGAAAUAAUAAUGGUGAUUUAUAAUACUUUUGUUUGAUAUCCAAUUAUAGUAAAAGAACUUAAGGCACACAAAUUAAAACGUUGUACCAUUAGAUACGUCUUUCUAUGACUCUCGGAUUGUAAUCCGUGUGCUUUCUUAUAGGAUUACUGACCCCUAUUUAUUUUUCCUUCCUUUUUUGGCCGUAUUCUUAUUUUAUAAUGUCUGUCAGUGAUAUUUAUUUAGCUCCCCCUUUGUACAAAGAGAAGUAAUGACUCGGGAAAGUUUUUUUAUUAUUUUAUUUUCUACAUGGAAUUUUCUAGUCAACUAAACCUUAAGUUGUGAUAAAUUUUCUCAAAUCAGUACCCUUUUUUUUUUGCUAAACUGAGAAUCUUGUAAAUGGGAGUUUAUUAUUGUAAGCCGAGGAUUUAACCCAAGUUCUUAGCAACAAUUUUCAGGGUCCUUACCAACCAGACUAAUUGGUACCCGCAAAACUUGAGAAGGCAUUAUAUGCUUAAAUUAUUUGGAUUUAAACGUAGUGGCUAUGUCAGCGCCGUAUAAAGCUUGUACAAGAUCUUUAUCAAAAGUUAUUCCUAGUUCCUACACAAACAUGUUAAGACUGUUGCUAAAUGUAAGUUACCCAGACAAACGUGGUUCAACCAUCACCAAAGCUGGUCUUUUAUUAUUUUUUGUGCUUAAUUCAAAACUUCUGCAUCAUCCAUAUUAUACUUGAUUUUUCGUAUAAUGAUAGCUAGAAUUGUUACUUAUGAGGGACAUGUUAAGUAUUGAUUCUUAAAAUAAACUUAAUUUGCCAGGUGGCCCAUUUGGGCUCACUUAUGUUUUUUGUUUUGGGAAAUUUACAUACAUUCCACGCAACUCUGAUAUAUUUACAUAUCUAACACCCAAAGUUUGAUAUUUACAU